AGAAUAGGGGGUAAAACAUAAGAUGAAAAUUCAUGAGCUUCAUUCCAAUGGCUAAAACAUCUGUCAUAUUAUUCAUCAAAGGCCAACAGAUAUAUAUGCCAACAGAAAAGUGCAGAUAUAUCCAAUGAUCCAAUGCUUACUGUAUGACAAAUAAGCUCACAGUUCACCAAUUUGUUUGAUAUUCAACAGUAUA